rnacentral:tRNA from 1 species
GUCGGAGUGGCGGAAUUUGGUAGACGCGGCAGAUUCAGGAUCUGCUGGGGAAAUCCCCUUGAGGGUUCAAAUCCCUCCUCCGACA